rnacentral:rRNA from 1 species
CCAAUAGCGUAUAUUAAAGUUGUUGCAGUUAAAAAGCUUGUAGUUGAAUUUCGGGAUCAGUUGGUCGGUCGUGCCUCGGUACGUACUGGUCAAAUUGAUUCCUACCUUCUGACGAACCACGAUGUCAUUAAUUUGGUGUCGCGGGAAAUCAGGACUGUUACUUUGAAAAAAUUAGAGUGUUUAAAGCAGGCUCGCGCUUG